rnacentral:rRNA from 1 species
UACGUAGGGGGCAAGCGUUGUCCGGAAUCAUUGGGCGUAAAGCGCGCGUAGGCGGCCCGGUAAGUCCGCUGUAAAAGUCAAGGGCUCAACCCUUGAACGCCGGUGGAUACUGCCGGGCUAGAGUCCGGAAGAGGCGAGUGGAAUUCCUGGUGUAGCGGUGGAAUGCGCAGAUAUCAGGAGGAACACCAAUAGCGAAGGCAGCUCGCUGGGACGGUACUGACGCUGAGGCGCGAAAGCGUGGGGAGCGAACAGG